CCUACGGGUGGCAGCAGUGGGGAAUAUUGCACAAUGGGGGAAACCCUGAUGCAGCAACGCCGCGUGAAGGAAGACGGUUUUCGGAUUGUAAACUUCUGUUCUUAGUGAAGAAUAAUGACGGUAGCUAAGGAGCAAGCCACGGCUAACUACGUGCCAGCAGCCGCGGUAAUACGUAGGUGGCAAGCGUUAUCCGGAAUUACUGGGUGUAAAGGGAGCACAGGCGGGAAGUCAAGUCAGCUGUGAAAUCUACGGGCUUAACUUGGAGACUGCAGUUGAAACUGGUUUUCUUGAGUGAAGUAGAGGUAUGCGGAAUUCCGGGUGUAGCGGUGAAAUGCUUAGAUAUUCGGAGGAACACCGGUUGCGAAGGCGGCCAACUG
rnacentral:rRNA from 1 species